UUGGAGGGCAAGUCUGGUGCCAGCAGCCGCGGUAAUUCCAGCUCCAAUAGCGUAUAUUAAAGUUGUUGCAGUUAAAAAGCUCGUAGUUGAAUUUCGGGGUCAGUAGGCUGGUCGUGCCUCAGGUACGUACUGGUCUUACUGAUUCCUCCUUCCUGACGAACCGUAAUGCCAUUAAUUUGGUGUUGCGGGGAAUCUGGACUGUUACUUUGAAAAAACUAGAGUGUUUAAAGCAGGCUAACGCUUGAAUACAUUAGCAUGGAAUAAUGAAAUAGGACGAUCGAUCCUAUUUUGUUGGUUUCUAGGAUUGACGUAAUGAUUAAUAGGGAUAGUUGGGGGCAUUAGUAUUCAAUUGUCAGAGGUGAAAUUCUUGGAUUUAUUGAAGACUAACUACUGCGAAAGCAUUUGCCAAGGAUGUUUUCAUUAAUCAAGAACGAAAGUUAGGGGAUCGAAGACGAUCAGAUACCGUCGUAGUCUUAACCAUAAACUAUGCCGACUAGGGAUCGGAUGAUGUUAAUUUUUUAAUGACUCAUUCGGCGCCUUACGGGAAA
rnacentral:rRNA from 1 species